rnacentral:rRNA from 1 species
GCGCAGCAGGCGAGAAUACUUUACAAUGUGCGAAAGCACGAUAAGGGAACUCUGAGUGCCUCCUAAGGAGGCUGUUCAGGUGUCUAAAAGCACCUGAAGGAAGGGCUAGGUAAGACCGGUGCCAGCCGCCGCGGUAACACCGGCAGCCCAAGUGGUAGCCACGUUUAUUGGGUCUAAAGCGUCCGUAGCCGGCUGGGUAAGUUCCUUGGGAAAUUUGGCUGCUUAACAGUCAAGCUUUCAGGGAAUACUGCCCGGCUUGGGGACCGGGAGAGGUCAGAGGUACUCCAGGGGUAGGGGUGAAAUCCAUUAAUCCUUGGGGGACCACCGGUAGCGAAGGCGUCUGACCAGACCGGGUCCGACGGUGAGGGACGAAGGCUAGGGGCGCGAACCGGAUUAGAUACCCCUGUAGU